AAAAAGACAAACCCUAAUUUCCGUGCCCAAUGUUUGACCGUCCGUCUUAUUUGAAAAAAUUAUGAAAAAAAUUGAAAAGACAAGUCACGCAUAAAAUAUUAAUCAUGUUUUAUCAUCUAACAACAAUGAAAAUAUGAAUUAUAAAAAAAUUUCAUAUAAGACGGACAGUUAAAGUUAGACACGGAAACUCAGGGUUUGUCUUUUU
rnacentral:pre_miRNA from 1 species